GCCCUCAGGAGGGGGAUAACGGCUGGAAACGGCCGCUAAUACCCCAUAUGCCGCGAGGUGAAAUGAAUUUCGCCUGAGGAUGAGCUCGCGUCUGAUUAGCUAGUUGGUGGGGUAAAGGCCUACCAAGGCGACGAUCAGUAGCUGGUCUGAGAGGAUGAUCAGCCACGCUGGGACUGAGACACGGCCCAGACUCCUACGGGAGGCAGCAGUGGGGAAUUUUCCGCAAUGGGCGAAAGCCUGACGGAGCAACGCCGCGUGAGGGAUGAAGGCCUCUGGGCUGUAAACCUCUUUUCUCAAGGAAGAAGACCUGACGGUACUUGAGGAAUAAGCCACGGCUAAUUCCGUGCCAGCAGCCGCGGUAAUACGGAAAUGGCGAGCGUUAUCCGGAAUUAUUGGGCGUAAAGCGUCCGCAGGCGGCCCUGUAAGUCUGUCGUUAAAGCGUGGAGCUUAACUCCAUUUAAGCGAUGGAAACUACAGGGCUUGAGUGUGGUAGGGC
rnacentral:rRNA from 1 species